rnacentral:rRNA from 1 species
UACAGAGGUCCCGAGCGUUGUUCGGAUUCACUGGGCGUAAAGGGUGCGUAGGUGGCGUGGUAAGUUUGAUGUGAAAGCUCAGGGCUUAACCCUGAAAUGGCAUUGAAUACUACUGUGCUGGAGGUUUGGAGGGGGGACUGGAAUUCUUGGUGUAGCAGUGAAAUGCGUAGAUAUCAAGAGGAACACCAGUGGCGAAGGCGAGUCCCUGGACAACACCUGACACUGAGGCACGAAAGCUAGGGUAGCAAACGGG